AGUGAACGCUGGCGGUAGGCCUAACACAUGCAAGUCGAACGGCAGCACAGUAAGAGCUUGCUCUUACGGGUGGCGAGUGGCGGACGGGUGAGGAAUACAUCGGAAUCUACUUUUUCGUGGGGGAUAACGUAGGGAAACUUACGCUAAUACCGCAUACGACCUACGGGUGAAAGCAGGGGAUCUUCGGACCUUGCGCGAUUGAAUGAGCCGAUGUCGGAUUAGCUAGUUGGCGGGGUAAAGGCCCACCAAGGCGACGAUCCGUAGCUGGUCUGAGAGGAUGAUCAGCCACAUUGGAACUGAGACACGGUCCAGACUCCUACGGGAGGCAGCAGUGGGGAAUAUUGGACGAUGGGCGCAAGCCUGAUCCAGCCAUACCGCGUGGGUGAAGAAGGCCUUCGGGUGGUAAAGCCCUUUUGUUGGGAAAGAAAAGAAGCAGGUUAAUACCCCGCUGUUCUGACGGUACCCAAAGAAUAAGCACCGGCUAACUUCGUG
rnacentral:rRNA from 1 species